UCACAAAGAAGCUGAAGCUCUGAGGAAAUUUAAAUGAGGAGGAUCACCUGAAAUAGCUUGAAAAUGGUGGUAGUGGAGCACCUGACCUCCAAGAAAAUGAAUAUGUUAAAGCAAUAGAGGGGGACAAUAGACUUGAAAAAAGUAGUCCUAAAUAGGCUAGUUAGUGGGACUGCUUUGAGAAGAUGCCUGGCUUCUAGGUCAAAGAAGUUCCAUUCCAGUUCCACAAAAAUCCAAAAGGAAAUUCUGCAACAUGGGAAAUACUAGAAGUCUGAUCCAAAGCAUGUUGAAAUGCAUGCAAAUCACUAUGAUGGGCUUUGGAUCAGGUCCUAAGUAAAGUAAUUCUUGAACUGUCACCUCUGGUCAUAAUGGCCCUUUAUUCUGUCUCUUUAAUGACAAAUGAUUUUGUUAUAAGAAGCCUUAUGUAAUUUCUGGCAUGGUUAGACCUCAUAUACGAAAGGUGUGUAAUCUUAGAAAUGCUCUAGCUGGUUUCUUGGGUUGUGUAACAAAUAAUUAUGGAAUCUCGCUGAGUCUUGCUUUAUUAUUAUAGAGCUCCAGGCUUUUACCCCCAUUUGCUUUACAUGCUUGUUAAUAUUUAAGCUAUCUUGUAGCUUGGGUAAUUUGUAAUGACUUUUUUGUUACUGAAGCUAAUAUUAAACAAAAGUUGUUGGGGGGGGGAAAGGUGUGAUGGAGGAGUUGUUUUUCUGAAAGUGCUUUUCCUAAUUUUAAUAGCUUUUGGCCGAUUUGCAAAUACAAAUAUGAAAUAGAAAGCUCUUCCAAAGCUUU